GCCACUCUAUCACGUGACCGCGCCGGGACACCAUCGGCCAAUCAGCGGACGCCGUGUACCGCCCGAGGGUAUGCGCUCACCGGGUCAGACUGCCAGAGUGCCGUGCGCUGAGGACGCGGAUCGUGCGGCGAGGCGCCAUGUUUGCCUGAACGGCGUAUUCUUGACAGCAUCACCUCGUUUGCUGACAUGCAGCUUCCACUUCUAUCGGAUUUCUGGAAGCUGACUUAUCACUUCUUAGAUCAGCAAUCGAUACAUGGUGUUCACUGCGACCUGCAAUAGCGUGCACUCGAUCUGCAAGCUGCGUGAGAACUUCAUCUGGCUCCCGAAGGUCACUGGCUGCGCCAACUGCUGCGCUGGAGUAGCCGUCACGGGACGUUUCUGGUACUGAUGUGUCUGGUGGCGGCGACUGCCGGGCUCUCGCAGGUCCGAAUCAAUCGCCGGGAGCGGUGGCAGGGUGUACCCGCUGUUCACAACGCCAACGUGGAAUACGGUACCGAGCACGGCCCGUGCAUCGGAGGGGCCUGUCGCUCCUACGUCGUCAACAGCGGAUUUACGAAUGACCUGCCCUCGCGAGCACUGGGCGCAGGUCUUACUGGUGGCCUGGGAACGGGUCACGGGAUUGGUGUUGUAACAGGUCACGGAAUAGGUCUUGGUGCAGGUCACGGUAUCGGUCUUGGCACGGGUCAUGAUCUGGGUCUUGGAACGAGCCACGGGAUUGGUCUUGUAACGAGCCACGGCAUUGGCUCUGGACCGAGCUACAACUAUGGUCACGGGUUUGGUAUAGGGCAGGGUCACAGGCUUGAUCAUGUGUCGAGCAUUAUUCCAGGAUCAGUUUACGGGACUACCCUCGGAGCAAGUCACAGCCUUGGUCUUGGUGCUGGCCACCAACUAGGACUUGGUGUGGGUCAAGCACAGAGAUACCAGACUGGGCAAGGACUCAGCUUCAGUUCUGGAGCUUACCGUGGAUUCAAAACAGCGGAGGCUUUCAAACUGGGCGCUGCCACAGCCCAUACGUGGUAGUUCAUGCAAUUAGUCAUGGAAAUGGAUUCAGGCAUGAACCAUCGCGACAUUGGUGGAAUGGGCUAUCAUUAAUGCAUAUGUGCGUAGUGUUAUGUGCAACAUUUGAUGUUUCCGAUGCCAUGAUGAAGUCGAACAAUACAUUUGGUGUGCACGA